rnacentral:rRNA from 1 species
GACGGAAGGUGCAAGCGUCGCUCGGAGUCACUGGGCGUAAAGGGUGCGUAGGCGGCCGCGCAAGUCUGGUGUGAAAGCCCCGGGCUCAGCCCGGGAAGGGCGCUCGAAACGGCGCGGCUCGAGUGCCGGAGGGGAGAGUGGAAUUCCUGGUGUAGCGGUGAAAUGCGUAGAUAUCAGGAGGAAUACCGGUGGCGAAAGCGACUCUCUGGACGGCAACUGACGCUGAGGCACGAAAGCGUGGGGAGCAAACAGG